UUAUUAAUAACCCCAAAAACACUCACACAAAUAAUUAAACCAUUUUUCCUCCCAAGUAUGGGCGACAAAAAAGGAAACACCUUUAGAGCUAUAGAAAAAGUACCGCAAGGGAACGCUGAAAAAGAAAUGAAAUAAACCAGUAAAGUUAAAAAAAGCAGAGACUUACACUCGUACCUUUUGCAUCAUGAAUUAGUCAGUAAAAUUAAGCAAAAAGUAUUUUAGUUUAAUACCCCGAAACUAAGGGAGCUACUCCAAGACAGCCUAAAAGUCAGGGCCAACCCGUCUCUGUGGCAAAAGAGUGGGAUGAGCUUAGAGUAGAGGUGACAGACCUACCGAACUUAGUUAUAGCUGGUUGCUUGAGAAAUGAAUAGGAGUUCAGCUUUCUGAUUUCUUCUUUCUAACACUGCUUCAGCCUAAGCUGACUCAAAGAAAUCAAAAAAGUUAAUUAAAGGGGGUACAGCCCCUUUAAAAAAGAUACAACUUCACCAGAUGGGUACAGAUCAUAUUUAUCAAGGCAAAAUGUUUUAGUGGGCCUAAAAGCAGCCAUCUAUUAGAAAGCGUUAAAGCUCCUUCGUACCACCACCCCUCAAUUCAGAUAUCACAUCUAAACCCACCAGCCCUAUCAAGCCGCCCCAUACAUAUGGGGGUGAUUAUGCUAAUAUGAGUAAUAAGAAAAUAGAUUUUCUCCUUGCACUUGUGUAAAUCGAAACGGACUCUCCAUCGAACCUUAAUUCGGCCCCAAAAAAAGAGGGUAAUGAAUCAUAACUUUAGUAUCAAGAAAAACACCCAAAAAACAACCGUUAAUCCCACACUGGUGUGCUUACCAGGAAAGACUAAAAGAAAAAGAAGGAACUCGGCAAACACAAACCUCGCCUGUUUACCAAAAACACCGCCUCUUGCAAACAAAGAAUAAGAGGUCC
rnacentral:rRNA from 1 species